rnacentral:rRNA from 1 species
CCUACGGGAGGCAGCAGUGGGGAAUAUUGGACAAUGGGCGCAAGCCUGAUCCAGCAAUGCCGCGUGAGUGAUGAAGGCCUUCGGGUCGUAAAGCUCUUUUACCCGGGAUGAUAAUGACAGUACCGGGAGAAUAAGCUCCGGCUAACUCCGUGCCAGCAGCCGCGGUAAUACGGAGGGAGCUAGCGUUGUUCGGAAUUACUGGGCGUAAAGCGCACGUAGGCGGUUAUUCAAGUCAGAGGUGAAAGCCCGGGGCUCAACCCCGGAACUGCCUUUGAAACUAGAUGACUAGAAUCUUGGAGAGGUCAGUGGAAUUCCGAGUGUAGAGGUGAAAUUCGUAGAUAUUCGGAAGAACACCAGUGGCGAAGGCGACUGACUGGACAAGUAUUGACGCCGAGGUGCGAAAGCGUGGGGAGCAAACAGGAUUAGAUACCCUGGUAGUCCACGCCGUAAACGAUGAUAACUAGCUGUCCGGGUACUUGGUAUUUGGGUGGCGCAGCUAACGCAUUAAGUUAUCCGCCUGGGGAGUACGGUCGCAAGAUUAAAACUUAAAGGAAUUGACGGNUGAGAGNGCGAGACGACACGAGGAGAG